GCUGCAAUGAACCUGGAUUUGGGAAGGAGGACCCCUGUGAAGCGUGCUCUGGAGAACAGGAGGUGCUGUACUGCCAUUCAUCAAACCCUGGGAGGUGGUUCGUCUUCAGUGCUUCUACCUGUCAUUUUUGCAAAACGUGAUGCAGAGCUUUCUUCCUGGUGCACACUGUUCUUUAGUAACACUUGCACGAAAUGCUUCUCGUGUAGAGCAUGGAAAAGUCUGCUCUUUGUCCCGACCUUCACGCUGCAGUAUGGCUCCCAGUUCCAAACCUGCACACCAGUCUGCGCCAGGGUUCCUGGCCUACGCCCUGGAGCUCUGGCCUCUUUGCUGCUGGUUCUCCUGCCUGAGUUUCCAAUCUACUUCAGGAGGCAGCCUUCAUCCUCUAGGACCCCAGGGCUCUUCUAGUGCAGGCACAUUUCAUUCUUACGUCAAUGUAAACCAUCCAAUAAAAUUAGCAGGUCUCAACCACCAGACUCACAAAUAAACCAGAAUGAACAGUGGAAGAAGAGUAUUGAGUGAGCUAUCAUGAUCCUCACUGCCUACUCAACCAAAAGACAAAUCUCUUAAUGAGCACUAGGACUGGCUAAAGAAAUUACUGUCGUUAA